rnacentral:lncRNA from 1 species
CGGGAGUGCUAGCUCGCGCGGAGACCUUCUUGAUGGCUGACUUGCACUCUUUCUUCAAUCUCUCAAACUUUUCAAAGGAUGAAGAUAGGGCUACGAGGAUGUGAGGUGGUGGAAAAAGAAUAAUAGGAGAAUCUCUAUUCUCUCUUUUUCUCAUUUCUUGAAAUCUAGAUGAAACCCUAGGCCACUCACCCAAGAGGAGAUGGUUCUUCUCUAAUUCUCACACACCAAAGAAGGCUGCCC